GAGUCGAGUUAUUUGGGACUAUAGCUCUAAUAGUUUGGUUGGUGGUAAUGACACAUCAAAGGCUAAAUAUUGGUUAGUCGAUGCAUUUUACGGAGACCGAUAGCAUACAAGUACCGUAAGGGAACGAUGAAAAGCACCCUAUUAAGUUCACGGCGUCGGCCGCGUACAAUUCGUUGUACAACGCCGCGCCCAACAACUACAGUGGGAGUGAAAGAGAGAGUGAAAUCGCCUAUACAUAUAAUAUACUACGCGGCGUAUACACCACCACAUAUAUACCCCCCUCGUAUUAUAAGUCUGCGUUAGUACAAUCGGACAGAGUGUCGUAUUAUAGCCGCCUAAUAUACAGUUUCUAAUUGUAUAUUAUGGCUCGGCUCAUAGCGCGCUUCGGCCGCUAUACGCGACACAACUGUACGACCCGUUUUGAAACACGGACCAAGGAGUUCAACUGGAUUACGAGUCGUCGAGUGUAUUUAUUUAUACUCACACGGCAAAGCGAAAGCAAUCUUAAUCCUGUGCUAGGUUAGCGCCUUUGUGCGCUAACCGCAGCACGCGCUGAGUAAGUAUACGCGUGAAACCUUUCAAGGUGACGCGCGUACCUUAGAGAGUCAAAUCGCUAAGGAUUACUCAAGCGUUCAACGAGUAUAUCUUGUUGAGACCCGAAAGAUGGUGAACUAUGCUCGGAUAUGGCGAAGUCAGGUGAAAACUUGAUGGAAGCUUGCGUUGUGCGGAACUGACGUGCAAAUCGUUACCGCCUAACCUGAGUAUAGGGGCGAAAGACUAAUCGAACCAUCUAGUAGCUGGUUCCCUCCGAAGUUUCCCUCAGGAUAGC
rnacentral:rRNA from 1 species